GACGAACGCUGGCGGCGUGCUUAACACAUGCAAGUCGAACGGAAAGGCCCUGCUUGCAGGGUACUCGAGUGGCGAACGGGUGAGUAACACGUGGGUGAUCUGCCCUGCACUUCGGGAUAAGCCUGGGAAACUGGGUCUAAUACCGGAUAGGAGCCAUUUUUAGUGUGAUGGUUGGAAAGUUUUUUCGGUGUAGGAUGAGCUCGCGGCCUAUCAGCUUGUUGGUGGGGUAAUGGCCUACCAAGGCGGCGACGGGUAGCUGGCCUGAGAGGGUGGACGGCCACAUUGGGACUGAGAUACGGCCCAGACUCCUACGGGAGGCAGCAGUGGGGAAUAUUGCACAAUGGGCGCAAGCCUGAUGCAGCGACGCCGCGUGGGGGAUGACGGCCUUCGGGUUGUAAACUCCUUUCGCUAGGGACGAAGCUUUUUGUGACGGUACCUAGAGAAGAAGCACCGGCUAACUACGUG
rnacentral:rRNA from 1 species